AUACUAACCUGGCAGGGGAGAUACCAUGAUCACAAAGGUGGUUUUCCCAGGGUGAGGCUUAUCGAUAUCACUCCAGAUGUGUUGAACCCUGCGAUUUCCCCAAAUGUGGGAAACUUGACUGCAUAAUUUGUGGUAGUGGGGGACUGCGUUUGCCCUCUCCCCGU
rnacentral:snRNA from 1 species